ACGGGAGGCAGCAGUCGGGAAUAUUGCACAAUGGGGGAAACCCUGAUGCAGCGACGCCGCGUGAGUGAUGAAGUAUUUCGGUACGUAAAGCUCUAUCAGCAGGGAAGAUAAUGACGGUACCUGACUAAGAAGCCCCGGCUAACUACGUGCCAGCAGCCGCGGUAAUACGUAGGGGGCAAGCGUUAUCCGGAUUUACUGGGUGUAAAGGGAGUGUAGGUGGUCUGGCAAGCCAGAUGUGAAAGCCCGGGGCUCAACCCCGAGGACUGCAUUUGGAACUGUCGGACUUGAGUGCAGGAGAGGAAAGUGGAAUUCCUAGUGUAGCGGUGAAAUGCGUAGAUAUUAGGAGGAACACCAGUGGCGAAGGCGGCUUUCUGGACUGUAACUGACACUGAGGCUCGAAAGCGUGGGGAGCAAACAGGAUUAGAUACCCUGGUA
rnacentral:rRNA from 1 species